GACGAACGCUGGCGGCGUGCCUAAUGCAUGCAAGUCGAGCGACGAAUAGGUGCGGGUAACCAAGCCUAUUACGGAGCGGCGAACGGGUGAGUAACACGUGAGCAACCUGCCCCGAAGACCGGGAUAGCCCAGGGAAACUUGGAUUAAUACCGGAUACCCUCCUUUGACCACAUGGUCGUUUGAGGAAAUGCUUUUACGCUUCGGGAUGGGCUCGCGGCCUAUCAGCUUGUUGGUGGGGUAACGGCCUACCAAGGCGU
rnacentral:rRNA from 1 species